GACGAACGCUGGCGGCGUGCCUAAUACAUGCAAGUCGAACAAACUCUGGUAUUGAUUGGUGCUUGCAUCAUGAUUUACAUUUGAGUGAGUGGCGAACUGGUGAGUAACACGUGGGAAACCUGCCCAGAAGCGGGGGAUAACACCUGGAAACAGAUGCUAAUACCGCAUAACAACUUGGACCGCAUGGUCCGAGUUUGAAAGAUGGCUUCGGCUAUCACUUUUGGAUGGUCCCGCGGCGUAUUAGCUAGAUGGUGAGGUAACGGCUCACCAUGGCAAUGAUACGUAGCCGACCUGAGAGGGUAAUCGGCCACAUUGGGACUGAGACACGGCCCAAACUCCUACGGGAGGCAGCAGUAGGGAAUCUUCCACAAUGGACGAAAGUCUGAUGGAGCAACGCCGCGUGAGUGAAGAAGGGUUUCGGCUCGUAAAACUCUGUUGUUAAAGAAGAACAUAUCUGAGAGUAACUGUUCAGGUAUUGACGGUAUUUAACCAGAAAGCCACGGCUAACUACGUGCCAGCAGCCGCGGUAAUACGUAGGUGGCAAGCGUUGUCCGGAUUUAUUGGGCGUAAAGCGAGCGCAGGCGGUUUUUUAAGUCUGAUGUGAAAGCCUUCGGCUCAACCGAAGAAGUGCAUCGGAAACUGGGGAACUUGAGUGCAGAAGAGGACAGUGGAACUCCAUGUGUAGCGGUGAAAUGCGUAGAUAUAUGGAAGAACACCAGUGGCGAAGGCGGCUGUCUGGUCUGUAACUGACGCUGAGGCUCGAAAGUAUGGGUAGCAAACAGGAUUAGAUACCCUGGUAGUCCAUACCGUAAACGAUGAAUGCUAAGUGUUGGAGGGUUUCCGCCCUUCAGUGCUGCAGCUAACGCAUUAAGCAUUCCGCCUGGGGAGUACGGCCGCAAGGCUGAAACUCAAAGGAAUUGACGGGGGCCCGCACAAGCGGUGGAGCAUGUGGUUUAAUUCGAAGCUACGCGAAGAACCUUACCAGGUCUUGACAUACUAUGCAAAUCUAAGAGAUUAGACGUUCCCUUCGGGGACAUGGAUACAGGUGGUGCAUGGUUGUCGUCAGCUCGUGUCGUGAGAUGUUGGGUUAAGUCCCGCAACGAGCGCAACCCUUAUUAUCAGUUGCCAGCAUUAAGUUGGGCACUCUGGUGAGACUGCCGGUGACAAACCGGAGGAAGGUGGGGAUGACGUCAAAUCAUCAUGCCCCUUAUGACCUGGGCUACACACGUGCUACAAUGGAUGGUACAACGAGUUGCGAACUCGCGAGAGUAAGCUAAUCUCUUAAAGCCAUUCUCAGUUCGGAUUGUAGGCUGCAACUCGCCUACAUGAAGUCGGAAUCGCUAGUAAUCGCGGAUCAGCAUGCCGCGGUGAAUACGUUCCCGGGCCUUGUACACACCGCCCGUCACACCAUGAGAGUUUGUAACACCCAAAGUCGGUGGGGUAACCUUUUAGGAACCAGCCGCCUAAGGUGGGACAGAUGAUUAGGGUG
rnacentral:rRNA from 2 species